AGGACAGAGGUGGAAGUGUGGUAACACAUGGAGCUGACUGUUACUAAUAGGUCGAGGGCAUAACCAAG
rnacentral:rRNA from 1 species